UUUGCCGGGGAGCAACGGGGUCCUUGCGAGGGCCUAAUGAGAGUACCCGGAGAAAAAGCAUCGGCUAACUCCGUGCCAGCAGCCGCGGUAAUACGGAGGAUGCGAGCGUUAUCCGGAUUUAUUGGGUUUAAAGGGUGCGUAGGCGGGCUGUUAAGUCAGCGGUCAAAUGUCGGGGCUCAACCCCGGCCUGCCGUUGAAACUGGUGGCCUCGAGUGGGCGAGAAGUAUGCGGAAUGCGUGGUGUAGCGGUGAAAUGCAUAGAUAUCACGCAGAACUCCGAUUGCGAAGGCAGCAUACCGGCGCCCGACUGACGCUGAGGCACGAAAGCGUGGGUAUCGAACAGGAUUAGAUACCCUGGUAGUCCACGCAGUAAACGAUGAAUGCUAGCUGUCCGGG
rnacentral:rRNA from 1 species